GGGGCUGUAGCUCAGUGGUAGAGCCCUUACCUAGCAUGUAUGAGGCACUGGGUUUGAUCCUCAGCACCA
rnacentral:tRNA from 1 species